UCCCACAGCUCUUGGGCGUCAUUUAUUUUUUGCAUAGGCAUAAAUUAGGAUCUGGAGAUAAAAAACUUAAGAACCAAUAGUGCAGCAUUUGUGACAGGAGAGCGCAAAACAAAGCCUGGCUGCCUCGGGAUGGAGCAGGGGCGGCCUCACCACCACUGCAUCCAGCCUCAUGCUCCAGAGCGGAUUUGAGGCUCAGUGCUGCAGUGAAGGCCUGCCCGCCUUCUUGCCCCUUCCCCGCAGCCGGACCACCAGACACAGCCGGAACCAGUGCCCCAGGCCCCUCUCCACGGCCAGGAACAAGAAACUGAGUAUCACCCAUGCUGUUGGGUGACAAGGCCUUGGGCACAUGCUCUAAGGUAACGGCCGUGGGGCGGAUGCGGGCAGAGAGGCGGACCACGGCGAAGCCCUGUGGCCCCUGGAAGGCCCAGCAGUUGCCUGGGUGCACAUCUGGCUGGAGGAGCA
rnacentral:antisense_RNA from 1 species